GUGUUUGCUUUGGUAGCACACAUACUAAAAUUGGAAAGAUACAGAGAUUAGCAUGGCCCCUGCGCAAGAAUGAUACACAAAUUCAUGAAGUGCUCCCUAUUAAA